UGACGUGGAUCAUGCGCGUGA
rnacentral:misc_RNA from 1 species